rnacentral:snoRNA from 1 species
ACUCUCCAGAUCCCUUCCCCAUCAGAUCUAAACAGUGGUCUGAGUGGCUGUAACAAAGGUGGGAAAGUAAGAAAGGAAAAAAAAGUUACAUCUCCUAAAGUAAGGCUUAGAAACUAGA